rnacentral:rRNA from 1 species
CUUCGGGUACUUUAGUGGCGAACGGGUGAGUAAUACAUAGGUAACCUACCCUUAAGACGAGGAUAGCCAUUGGAAACGAUGGAUAAAACUGGAUAGGAUAUAGAGGAAGAAUCUUUUAUAUUUAAAAGAGAGAUCUGCUUAAGGAGGGGCCUGUGGCGCAUUAGCUAGUUGGUGGGGUAAGGGCCUACCAAGGCGAUGAUGCGUAGCCGGACUGAGAGGUUGAACGGCCACAAUGGAACUGAGAACGGUCCAUACUCCUACGGGAGGCAGCAGUAGGGAAUUUUCGGCAAUGGGGGGAACCCUGACCGAGCAACGCCGCGUGAACGAAGAAGUUAUUCGUAAUGUAAAGUUCUUUUAUCAGGGAAGAAAGAGGAAUUUGACGGUACCUGAGGAAUAAGCUCCGGCUAACUACGUGCCAGCAGCCGCGGUAAUACGUAGGGAGCGAGCGUUAUCCGGAAUUAUUGGGCGUAAAGGGUGCGUAGAUGGCAUAGUAAGUCUUUUGUAAAAAUGCUGGGCUCAACCCAGUAGGGCAAAAGAUACUGCAAAGCUAGAGUAUGACAGAGGCAAGUGGAACUACAUGUGUAGCGGUAAAAUGCGUAAAUAUAUGUAAGAACACCAGUGGCGAAGGCGGCUUGCUGGGUCGAUACUGACAUUGAGGCACGAAAGCGUGGGGAGCAAACAG